rnacentral:rRNA from 1 species
UACGAAGGGGGCUAGCGUUGCUCGGAAUCACUGGGCGUAAAGCGCACGUAGGCGGAUUGUUAAGUCAGGGGUGAAAUCCUGGAGCUCAACUCCAGAACUGCCUUUGAUACUGGCGAUCUUGAGUCCGGGAGAGGUGAGUGGAACUGCGAGUGUGGAGGUGAAAUUCGUAGAUAUUCGCAAGAACACCAGUGGCGAAGGCGGCUCACUGGCCCGGUACUGACGCUGAGGUGCGAAAGCGUGGGGAGCAACAGG